UUUUAAUUUUCUGUUUUUGAAAUUAUCUAUUUGUGCAACAAAUGGGAUAUAAUCGUUCCAUAUUUAUGUAUAUGAAUACAAGGGCAAAUCAAGUGGUGGUGGUGCUGGCAGUCCUCCUGGUGCUUCAGUAGCAGGCAGUGCAGCGCAGUCGGCAGCAGGUGGUGGUGGUGCUGGCAGUCCUCCUGGUGCUUCAGUAGCAGGCAGUGCAACGCAGUCGGCAGCAGGAGAAGAAGGAGGAGAAGAAGAAGGAGGAGGAGGAGGAGGAG